GCAGUCGAGGGGCAUCAUGAGGUAGCAAUACCUUGAUGGCGACCGGCGCACGGGUGAGUAACGCGUAUGCAACCUGCCCGAUACCGGGGUAUAGCCCAUGGAAACGUGGAUUAACACCCCAUAGUACUUUUAUCCUGCCUGGGAUGUGAGUUAAAUGUUCAAGGUAUCGGAUGGGCAUGCGUCCUAUUAGUUAGUUGGCGGGGUAACAGCCCACCAAGACGAUGAUAGGUAGGGGUUCUGAGAGGAAGGUCCCCCACAUUGGAACUGAGACACGGUCCAAACUCCUACGGGAGGCAGCAGUGAGGAAUAUUGGUCAAUGGACGUAAGUCUGAACCAGCCAAGUCGCGUGAGGGAAGACUGCCCUAUGGGUUGUAAACCUCUUUUAUAAGGGAAGAAUAAGUUCUACGUGUAGAAUGAUGCCUGUACCUUAUGAAUAAGCAUCGGCUAACUCCGUGCCAGCAGCCGCGGUAAUACGGAGGAUGCGAGCGUUAUCCGGAUUUAUUGGGUUU
rnacentral:rRNA from 1 species